CCUACGGGAGGCUGCAGUGAGGAAUAUUGGGCAAUGGAGGCAACUCUGACCCAGCCAUGCCGCGUGAGUGAAGAAGGUUUUCGGAUUGUAAAGCUCUUUCGGAAGUGACGAUGAUGACGGUAGCAUCUAAAGUAGCCCCGGCUAACUUCGUGCCAGCAGCCGCGGUAAUACGUAGGGGGCAAGCGUUGUUCGGAAUUACUGGGCGUAAAGGGUGUGUAGGCGGUUUAGUUAGAUAGUGGUGAAAUCCCAGAGCUUAACUUUGGAAUUGCCAUUAUAACUUUCAGACUAGAGUUACAGAGAGGAUAGUGGAAUACCCAGUGUAGAGGUGAAAUGCGUAGAUAUUGGGUAGAACACCAGUGGCGAAGGCGACUAUCUGGCUGUACAUUGACGCUGAGGCUCGAAAGCAUGGGGAUCAAACAGGAUUAGAUACCCGAGUAGUC
rnacentral:rRNA from 1 species